UUGACCUCGGAUCAGGCAGGGAUACCCGCUGAACUUAAGCAUAUCAAUAAGCGGAGGAAAAGAAACCAACAGGGAUUGCCUCAGUAACGGCGAGUGAAGCGGCAACAGCUCAAAUUUGAAAUCUGGUCUCUUUUAGGGUCCGAGUUGUAAUUUGUAGAGGAUGCUUCGGCGUGGGCUCCGGUCUAAGUUCCUUGGAACAGGACGUCAUAGAGGGUGAGAAUCCCGUAUGUGAUCAGUUGCCUUUGCCAUGUGAAGCUCCUUCGACGAGUCGAGUUGUUUGGGAAUGCAGCUCUAAAUGGGAGGUAAAUUUCUUCUAAAGCUAAAUACUGGCCAGAGACCGAUAGCGCACAAGUAGAGUGAUCGAAAGAUGAAAAGCACUUGGGAAAGAGAGUCAAAAAGUACGUGAAAUUGUUGAAAGGGAA
rnacentral:rRNA from 1 species